GUGUGGACGCCAGUCUGCAUGGAGCCGGCCUUGAAAUACCACCCUUUAAUGUUUGAUGUUCUAACGUGGACCCGUGAUCCGGGUUGCGGACAGUGUCUGGUGGGUAGUUUGACUGGGGCGGUCUCCUCCUAAAGAGUAACGGAGGAGCACGAAGGUUGGCUAAUCCUGGUCGGACAUCAGGAGGUUAGUGCAAUGGCAUAAGCCAGCUUGACUGCGAGCGUGACGGCGCGAGCAGGUGCGAAAGCAGGUCAUAGUGAUCCGGUGGUUCUGAAUGGAAGGGCCAUCGCUCAACGGAUAAAAGGUACUCCGGGGAUAACAGGCUGAUACCGCCCAAGAGUUCAUAUCGACGGCGGUGUUUGGCACCUCGAUGUCGGCUCAUCACAUCCUGGGGCUGAAGUAGGUCCCAAGGGUAUGGCUGUUCGCCAUUUAAAGUGGUACGCGAGCUGGGUUUAGAACGUCGUGAGACAGUUCGGUCCCUAUCUGCCGUGGGCGCUGGAGAACUGAGGGGGGCUGCUCCUAGUACGAGAGGACCGGAGUGGACGCAUCACUGGUGUUCGGGUUGUCAUGCCAAUGGCACUGCCCGGUAGCUAAAUGCGGAAGAGAUAAGUGCUGAAAGCAUCUAAGCACGAAACUUGCCCCGA
rnacentral:rRNA from 2 species